AUCCAGCUGGCGGACGAGUCCCAAAUAGGACGAAAUGCGCACCCUGGAU
rnacentral:hammerhead_ribozyme from 1 species